AUCCGCUCCAUCAGGAGUUCAUCUCGCGAGCCCAGGACAGGCGGUCAGUACUUCCUGUCAGAUAAACAGAGUCAUCAGCCAUCCGACUCUUCCAAUUAGUAUCACUGCUCAUGAAGACAGGCACAUCAAAUUCUAUGACAACAAUACAGGAAAACUGAUCCAUUCCAUGGUAGCUCACUUAGAUGCAGUUACGAGUUUAGCUGUCGAUCCUAAUGGCUUGUACUUGAUGUCUGGCAGUCAUGACUGUUCAAUUCGCUUAUGGAAUCUUGAAAGCAAGACCUGCAUCCAAGAAUUCACUGCUCAUCGCAAAAAAUUUGAUGAGUCCAUUCAUGAUGUGGCAUUCCACCCAUCCAAAUGUUAUAUUGCCAGUGCAGGAGCAGAUGCCCUGGCAAAAGUGUUUGUAUGACAGAGUGGGUCCCUUUCCAACUUUAGCUUUGUAUAUAUUUAACCAGCUGCACAAAACAGAAGAGAAGGGCAUGGGUCUCCUGCCCAAUCAGAGAAUGUUUGUAAGUGUUUAGUUUUUGCAGGGUGCUGUUUUCUAAAUUGAAAUUUGUUCUGGUUUCUGUGAGCUCAGCUGGUGCUGAGAGCUUGGAAACUCUCAGUUUCAACUACUUUCAAAAAGGAAAAAAAAAAAAAAAAAGCAAUUUUAUUUCAGAGGAUGUGAAUUUUCGUCCAGGCAGGCCUUGGGUGAAAUUAGGUCUAUGUGUUCUCUAUUAUUAAGAUGGAGUACUGGAAAGAAAGGGUCUAAUUGCUUCAGGGAGAGAGGGAAAAGAGGGAAAUUUUCUGGGAUGCUUCUUAUGGAGGAAUCUUGAUGUACUUAAGAUUAAAUCACCUGGAAAAAGUGUCAGUUCAGAUGCUUGUUAUUGUGUCAUGUGAGAGGCACUUUGUCAUCCCUUAAUCCCUUUGGUAUUAAUGAGUAGAUCACAUUCAGAGAGCAGUAGCUGAUACUUAAUCUCAGCCACCUGGCUGCUAGCCUAAGAUAAAUGUGGAUAAAGAAAAGCAAAUUACUAACAUAAAUUGAAAUACAGUAAAGUUUUAUUAAAUAUUUGGUGUUAUAUGGCAAAUAUUUAGUUUGCAAAAAAAAUUGUAUAAUUUUUUAAAUUGCAUUAGCAUGUGGCUAGAAGCUGAGUCUUUAGUCUAGUCCCAGUUAACAGCAGACUGAAGCAGUCUGUACAUACUUUAGUAGCAGAUUAACUUAUUCAGAUUUAUAAUACUGUUUAUUCUUGGAGAUCUGGCACAAGAAAUUAUAAGAUUUCCCAAAGAAACUCUUACAGUGUAAUUAUCAUAUGUUCAUUCCUCCUCUUUCUGUUCCUGCUAAAAAAGGGUAUCAUUCUGGGAAUUGUGUAACCAUGAAAUACUCAAUUUCUUUUGAAGAUUAAACCUAUGCUUUGUAUGAAUCCUACUAGCGUCAUAGGUGCUUGCACAAAGGUUGAUCUGUGUGAAAGUUUCUGCUACUUGUAGAGGCAUUUCCAGACUACAGCAUUUGUGAAACUUUUCCACGUGUGCUUCACUGGGCAUAUUGUGCCAUUAAUUAGGUUACCUGAAGAACGAAUGUUUUUUUUUUUAAAUUGCUCAACAGAUGUGCUUUGUCUCAGUAUUCAGAACUUCUCUGUUGAUUCAAGUGACAAGUAACUUUUAAUCCAAAAUUUUUGUCAAUUUAUCCCUUCCCUUUUAUCCCUCCCUAUAAUGAAAGUGAGUGGAUUCUUUUAUAUUACGUGUCACCAUGAGAGCCCUUACUGCUCUUCAGUCUGGAGUUGGUGUUUUCCUCAAAUUGGAAUGGAAGGCAGAAUUUAUUCUGCCUAUUAUUAGAUUAUUUCUGGUGCUGAUGUGAGUAGGAAAGAACCCAACAUAUGCAAUCCUUUCAAAGACCAGCCUGAGGCUAAGACUGGAAACUGAUCAUCUUUACCUUUACGCUUUUUAAGAAGGAAUCGUUGAAAGAUAUCAACAUAGGAUUUGACCAUGCUGUUCUUAGAGUGAUAUUUAGAGAUGGGACCACUAUUGAUGCUGAACUCAGAGUUUAGAUUAACUAUUAUUUAGAAUAAAAGGUUGACCUGUGCUGUUUGAGCCUGCAACACAUUAUAUUUACUGCUAAAGUAUCCUGGAAUACCUUUUUUUUUGCUCAGAAUAUUCAAAUAUGUCACUUCAUGAUACUGAUAUGCAAUAUAUUUCCAUAGGUAAGGUUAGAACUUUUUACCAUGAAACAGAUGAUUACGAUAAUGAUUCAGAUUUAGUUUUUAAAAAACGUUUUGGUUAUGAUAAAAAGAGGGAAAUCUUGUCUGCAAAACUGAGCAUUCAACUUAGUGAGAGUUCUGUAUACUUGACUCAUAUUCUUUCAGUGUCGUUAUUUUAUUUCUUUUUGGAGAGCAAAUUACAAAGAUUUAUUUGAAAAAUUCUAAAAGCUAUGUAUAUUACAUAUGUGUAUAUAUAUAUUGUAAACAUGUAUUAAAUAUGUCUAGUAAGGGAAGACUCUAUGGGUGCAUUUUAAUGUUUUAGUAUUAAGAGUUCUCUUGAGUUUGUGUAUACAAAGGAUAAUGGUGUGAGUAUGAAAUGAAUGUUGUGCUUUUGCUUACACAAUACAAUAUGUAGUUAAAGUUGUUUAAAUUGCUGUACAUAAAAUGAAUAGGCCAGCAUGCUCGUUUUUAAAGACUGUCAUUCUGAUUACAAUUGGAAUGUAAGAAGUGGCUGUUCAAAUGUGAAUUGAAAGAUGUUUCCUUCUCACUAUCGAGCUUUUGCUCAAACUGAGAAGAGACUUUUUUUAAAGCUGGCAAUAGCUAGAGGAUGAGGUGCCUUUAAAAAACAAAACAAAUGUAGCCUUACAAAGAGGUUGUGGAUAUAUAUUUUUGUGCUGGUCUUCAUAAUUGAUGUCAGUGUCUUUUUACUGUACUUGUUCACAUACUCGUAGGACUGCAGGGUAUUGUGCAUGAGCCUGUCAGAUCUUCUGAACGUCAUCAUAGGAGUUAGGGAUGAAAAAUUUAUUUAGGUUACCCAGUCCAUCUGUUCGCUCAAGCAGGAUUGUUGACUUGUGCAUUUUAAUAUUGUCUUGGCCAGUGAGGUCCUGUAUGUGUUCUAAGUGAUUAAUUUUCUUUCGGAAGAUUAUUUCAAUGAUUGCUUCUCACUGACAGGAGGAUUUAUUUGAUGCUUAGUGGUUCUUUUUGUAACUUCAUGCUGGUAUUUCAAGUCAUAUUUUGUGCCAUUUUAAAUAUUCCUCAUCACCUCAGUAAUUUGGAACCCUUGUGUAUGCACUAGCUCUACUGCAUAUUUCAUUUCCCCUUUCUCUAGGCUGUUUUUCAGUCUGCUCUUUUUACACAACUUUUUCUUAUUUUCAGCUUUUUUAGCUCAUGUCUCCAUAUCCCGGUGCCCACAGUGCCUUUCCACUUACAGUGCUUUCUCAGACUUAGUCUGAAGGAGAUCUGUUAAAAGUGGAGGGUUUUGGUUUUUUUCCCCUCUACGUAAUGCUUUUGUGUAGGAAGUCCAAACAUUUUAGUCUAGCUAGUAUCUCUAUACCCAGAUCUCAUUUCUGACAACUGUUUUCUUUAACUCAGCAUUGCUGCUUCUCAAGUUUCUCCUUCGCUUUCAGUAUGUACUUAAAAUUCUUUUGCAGCUAGAUGCUUAAUUCAUAACCUAUUUUUACAGGCUUUGAACUUCUGAUCUCUGAGGGAACUCUUUUUUUUUUUUUUUCCAUUUUAUAAUGCAAUUCUUUCUGGUUCAGUAUAAUUGGUAACUUUUAUGAAUGUGAUAAAUCCAUCUGAAGAUGCAAACAAAAUGGAACUUAACGGUUGUUCCUGGAAAAAAACAACAAAUAGUGACAUUUUUGUGUGACACUGUAUAUUGCAUUUUACCAUUGUCCUUUUUCAUGUAUUUAAUUGACAUGAUAAGUUUUUUAAUGGUUAACUUGUAGAAUUUUUUGUGUAUGUUAGCCUGUGCUACUGAUUUUGGUUUUGCUAACUAAUUUAAUGGGAAAAUCUGCAAUCCUUUCAUACAUUUAAAAUGAGUCCACUAGGUUUAAAUACUCUCAUUUUUAUUUCUAAUUUAUUUCAUUGCUGUAUACUUUCACUUUGAUUAUAUUUGAUUCAGUUGCCAAAACACUUGCACAAAAUGAUUUGGAAUAGCCUGGAGGAAGCUCUAGAUAUAAUUUUGUUGUGGAAAAUAUUUCCUUCCCUCCCAAAAAAUCUGUUUGUCUUUUUUUUUGGUGCCUCAGAGGAAAGUGUUUUGACAUACCAAAUAAAAGAUUUUAUUACUUAAAAGACUUUAGCAAGAAGUCUUAAGAUAAUGACAUGUCACUCACAUACUGUUGAUUGUUUUCUAUCUGUAUGUUCUCAAAUGGUGUUAUGUAAAGCAGUCCCAUAUAUAAUAUAUUUGAGAAAAUGUGUGGCAUUUACCAUACAGCUUUGUGAUCAGUAAUCAGAAAUGUGUCCUUUUGAGUAAUUAUGUGACAGAUAAAGGACUCGGUUACACUGCCUUUUGAGGUACACUUGUUUGAUCUCAAAUGUGUCCCCUUUCCCUCUCCCUGUUCCUCAUGUUUUAUCAGUGUCAUUUUUGGGAGCAGCAAUUUCCAUAAGCUCAUGCAUCACUUGUCAGCGUUAGUCCAUCACACAAGAAAUAAGAAGUUAAGGAGCAGGUAGAACCAUCUGAGUGUUUGGAAUGCCUCCCAAGAUGCAUGUUUGGAACCAUUUGCAGAGUGUGGUUUGGCAGUGUUUGCAGACUGUUCUGGGGAGCUCUCGGUGUGAAAUGUUAAAUAGAAUGUUCUGUAGUAAACCUAGUAAAAUCUUGUAAAAUAGGGGGAGUUGUGGAGGAAAGUACAGCUAUUGUGUUUGUGCCUGUACAGGACUGAUAGAGAGCAUUCUUCUUGGAGUCCUCUUUGCUGAAGCAUCAAACUUGCAAUCUAACAUGAAUAGCUCUUAGAUGCAAAUGAGAUUGCUAAUGUUUUUGCUUUGAAGAUCUAUAGUGGUCACUAUGCUGAACAGUGAGGGAGGGUAUUGGCUGAACUCUGAAGGUUAAACGGUUUAAAUGCCAAAACCAAUGUGCCCUCCCUGGGACUGAUGUCAGCUCAGGAUAACUAGGCUGGGAAGCAACGUAUAAUUCAAUGUGAUGAUAGCAGAGGGAACAAGGGGAAGCCUUUAAAGGGUGGAGUAGCAAUCUUAGUGAAGCUUUCCUGUGAUGAUUCCUCAGAUUAUUCACAUACCCAUUGGUUGCCAGUUGUGCGAAGGACAAAAUGUAGUAUAUGUUCAGAUUCCAAAUUGUGGAAUAAUUGUGUCAAAGGUGGAGAUCAUGCAAAUUUAUAAACUCUUGCUUUAGAUAAGCUGCCCCAAACAAUUGCUUGUGUUGCUAAAUAUUGUUGUGUCUUUUUAAACUUUACUUUCUCCUGUAAGUGAAUGGGACCAGUGGUUUCAGUUAAAUUGAAACUCAGUUGGCACACGUAUCUUUCAGCUUUCUUGUGGACAAGCUGGAAUUCAUGGAAAUAACUGUGAAAAUGCGAUGCUGCUUGUAAUACAGCUUUUAUAACACUCUGAAAAUUGUGGCUCUGGUGGAAACUGUUUUGGCCUACACUGUUAAAAAUGAAGGUAUCAGGAAUGAUAGUAAAAUGUUCACGUACGGUAAAUAGUUUUGUAUAAAAUGUUUGAUUUUUGGGAAAGCACCUGCUGCUGGUGAGCAUCAUAGUGAUGUUCAGUUGAGCUAUGUUACUACUGAGCACAGAGAGGAAGCAACAAUUUUUCUGGAAACCUAAAGCUCUCUUUUUCCAUGAAGGACAUGUAGGGAUUGAAAAUGUUUUAUUCAAAUCUGAUAAUAUAUUUAGUUGCAGAGGUUGCAAUAGGUGAACAGUCUUGACUAUUUCAUCACUUUAGAGCAGCACACUGUUACUGAAACUAAUGGUCUGUGAACUGUUAGGCAGUCCCUCUGCAGUAUUUCUGCUGAGUAGCAAUGAAUCUGACAGAAAACAAAGUGGUAGGCAAUGCAGUCAUGAAAAACUCACAUUUUAAGAGAUAGUCUUAAGUACAACAGAGUGAAUGAAGAAACAUCUGGGGAGUAAGGAGGGAGGGUGCAAGAGUCACCUUUAUGUAAAUAGCCUUUGUACAGACAUGCUCAGUAUGCAACUGAUGAGACUAAUCCAGGGAGGGAAGGUCUUGGCAAUGAGAAGACCUUCAAAGUUACAACUGUGCCUGUACUAACAUAUGUACCUGUUGUGAAGGUUAUCAGUCUUUUUGAAAUUUUACUCUUAUCUUUCCACUUAAAUCUAUCUUUUCUUGGAGUCGUAAUAUUGUAGCUACAGUGGAUUUUUACUGCAGGAUAAAUUUCAUAAAAGCAUAUUGAUCUAGAAUGUUUUUUGAAGAGUAUUGGGGUUUCAGCUUCAGCCCUGCCCCUCCCAUCACCAACAGGCUGUUCUAUACUUCCUUGGUCCCAGUUUGUGUAAGUCUACUGAGUUCUCUGAUCCUGCCUGCUUACCUGCUUUCUCUACCCUUUGAUCUGUUGUGAAAACUUAGGGAGUGCUACGUCAUUCAAGGUUUUUGAGAAUCUGAAUUCAACUACAGAAUGUGUCAUUCCAGUUCCACAGUAGAGUUUAUGGGUCUGAACUGGGUCAUUCUAAAGGGAGGUUUGAUGCUCCCUGACAAAAUGUGAAGUAUAGCUGAACUAAAGAGGUAUUUAAUAAUACACAUGCUUUAGCCUGUCUUUGUUCUUGAUUGUCUCUGAGUCAUCGUAUUGUGUGUCCAACUAAUUUUGCACAGUUUGUGCCGCCAAGCCACACUGUGAUCCUGGGAGAUCGCACCUCAUUUUAAACCAUGCCUGUGUGUAUGUUUUUGAAGCUGCUCAAAGCCUUGUGCUGGCAAGGUCCUCGAGCCCUUGCAGGCCUCAAAGGUACUCCCUACUACUUCAGAGAAACCCUUGGUCCUCACACCGGAGUAUUAGACUGGAAAGCUGAGAAAAGAUUUACGAAGCUGCAUUUGUACUCUUCUGUAAGAAAAGGGAUGACUUAUCUCCAAGCCAAAUAUUUUCAUAAUUUUGGAUUGCUUUAAAAAAGCAGCCAAAAACAUUGUGUAAGGGAAAAGCAAUGGACUUCAAGCUAAUAUUUUUCCAUUGAGAAUUUAUUUUUUUAUUCUUCCUCUCAUUAAGAUAGUGCUUGUUGAAUGUUGCUUGUUUUCAGAUGUGUGUCUCCUAGAACUGUUUCCUUGCAGUCGAGCAUUUACAAACAUGCAUAGAUUUUGAAAACUGUUUCAUAUGUUAGCACUUUUUCCAGAAAUGCAAAAUGAGGACGUUUGCUAAUGACUUCUUGUAUAGCCCAUUAUAGACCAAUCAGACUGAAGAUCAGACUUGUACUAUAACUUCCUUGAAUCACACAUCUGAAAAUCUUAUAGAAAUCUGUGAUAAGAAGACUAUUGUUGCUGUAAGAUUUUUUUGUUGACGUUUGUUAGCAGAUCAGCAACCUGCGUUGUAUUUCAUCUAAAUAUCUUCAAUUGGUUUCUUUUAAGAGAAACUGUCAAGGUUAAAAAAAAAAAAUACUAGAUGAAUUUCCUUGUCUUACGGGACAUUCAUAAGAUUGAAGUAAUUAAAACUGAUUGGUUUUUCAGCAUGGUCAUGAUUUGGAUUGUUGUUGUUUAUAUUCAUCUAUACCUUUUCCCCUCCCUAGGGAAAACUGUUGAAUUUAGAGGUACCUGUCAUUUCUUUCAGAGAAGAUACCACAGGUGAUAACCACUUACAUGUCAAUAUUUACAUGUGGUCCUCUUCUGUUUUGGGUCACUUCCAUGACAAAUAGUUAAUAGGAAAAGGCUACUGUGACUAAUAUUUGAACUCUUGCUUCAACAGCUACAGGAAAUUAAGAUUCCCCUUCAGAAUUACACUGAGGUUAUUAUUUUGCACGCCAGUUUUGAAUGACUACUUUGAAACAGUGUUGGGCUUCAAGUGUCUUGCAUAGUGGUGGAUCCAAAUGAGAAAUGCCUACUUGUUGAGUAAUAGUCUGCUUGUCAGUUUGUAUAUGGCUCAGUACCAAGUUGUCAGAGUACCACCAGAUUACCUUCUUUAAAUGCUACUGUUGUAUAGAAGUGAAUGUUAUGUUAAGUGAGAGAUACUGCUUUCUAAUUCAUGAAGGAAAUAGUUUACUUGGGAGUCAGGAUCCCAAAUUUUCAUAUGUUUCAAGAUUUCAGAAAGGCUUUUAUGGGAAAUAAGAAAAGUGAAAGUCAUCAUUCUCCAAAGAUUUGAUAAGCCUUUGUUAUAAAAAGUAUAAAUAUUUGCUAUAAAGAAAAAUGCUUCUUCAAACACUUCAUAUUAACUUUUACUGAAAAUCAAUAUUUUAAAAUCCUGGAUAAAUAUCUCAAAUGGCGAAGACAGAAAAUUCAGAGAGAUUAUUUUGAAAUAUGCCAGUAUAUUUUUGAGCUUCUCAAUUGCGGCCCUGAAUUUUCUCUCUUUCGCUGCAAUUCAUACUUUGUGAAGGUUCUUGGAUAGGUUAUAUUUAAAACUACAUUCACAUGCCUGAAUAGUCCAAGUAAAUAUUUUGUCAUUAAAAUUGUAUAGGUCUGCAUAUUUUAGUGUGCCAUUUAAAAUGAGACCACAUAGAGGUAACCAUGCAGGUAUUUAUAUUGAUAUGACUGUAGUGAAGUGGGAUAGCUGUAUACUGUACCCGCAUUCUGUGCUGAGCAAAAUCACAUGGACUUCCAGAAAUAAGCAAUGGUUUUUAAAAGCAGCUUUAUUUAAUGUUACAGCAGCAAGUAAGUGUCAUUUGUACCAUAUAAUUAUGUAAAUUGGGUGCUAAUAAAUACUAUUUUUCAACA